CGCGGCCUAUCAGCUUGUUGGUGAGGUAACGGCUCGCCAAGGCAACGACGGGUAGCUGGUCUGAGAGGGCGACCGGCCACACUGGGACUGAGAUACGGCCCAGACUCCUACGGGAGGCAGCAGUGGGGAAUAUUGCACAAUGGGCGCAAGCCUGAUGCAGCAACGCCGCGUGCGGGAUGACGGCCUUCGGGUUGUAAACCGCUUUCAGUAGGGACGAAGCUAACGUGACGGUACCUACAGAAGAAGGACCGGCUAACUACGUGCCAGCAGCCGCGGUGAUACGUAGGGUCCGAGCGUUGUCCGGAAUUAUUGGGCGUAAAGGGCUUGUAGGCGGUCCGUCGCGUCAGGAGUGAAAACUCGGGGCUUAACCCCGAGCCUGCUUUUGAUACGGGCGGACUAGAGGGAUGCAGGGGAGAACGGAAUUCCUGGUGGAGCGGUGGAAUGCGCAGAUAUCAGGAGGAACACCGGUGGCGAAGGCGGUUCUCUGGGCAUCACCUGACGCUGAGAAGCGAAAGCGUGGGGAGCAAACAGGCUUAGAUACCCUGGUAGUCCACGCCGUAAACGGUGGGCACUAGGUGUGGGGGACAUUCCACGUUCUCCGUGCCGAAGCUAACGCAUUAAGUGCCCCGCCUGGGGAGUACGG
rnacentral:rRNA from 1 species